AAAUCUUGACAUCCUGCUGACAAUCCUAAUAAAAGGGACUCCUUCGGGCAGCAGAGACAGGUGGUGCAUGGUUGUCGUCAGCUCGUGUCGUGAGAUGUUGGGUUAAGUCCCGCAACGAGCGCAACCCUUGUCUUUAGUAGCCAGCACUCAGGGUGGGCACUCUAGAGAGACUGCCGGGGACAACCCGGAGGAAGGUGGGGAUGACGUCAAAUCAUCAUGCCCCUUAUGAUUUGGGCUACACACGUGCUACAAUGGCGUAAACAAAGGGAAGCAGUCCCGCGAGGGUGAGCAAAUCCCAAAAAUAACGUCCCAGUUCGGAUUGCAGUCUGCAACUCGACUGCAUGAAGCUGGAAUCGCUAGUAAUCGCGAAUCAGAAUGUCGCGGUGAAUACGUUCCCGGGUC
rnacentral:rRNA from 1 species